GUAUAGGGCAUACCACCCUGAAUGUGCCUGAUCUCAUCUGAUCUUGGAGGCUAAGCAGGGCUGGGCCUGGUUAGUGCUUGGUGGGGAGAUCUCCUGGGAAUACUGGGUCCUGUAGACU
rnacentral:rRNA from 1 species